CCUACGGGAGGCUGCAGUGGGGAAUAUUGGACAAUGGGGGGAACCCUGAUCCAGCCAUGCCGCGUGUCUGAAGAAGGCCCUCGGGUUGUAAAGCACUUUCAGUGAGGAAGAACGCCUGGUGGUUAAUACCCAUCAGGAAAGACAUCACUCACAGAAGAAGCACCGGCUAACUCCGUGCCAGCAGCCGCGGUAAUACGGAGGGUGCGAGCGUUAAUCGGAAUUACUGGGCGUAAAGCGCGCGUAGGUGGCUUGAUAAGCCGGUUGUGAAAGCCCCGGGCUCAACCUGGGAACGGCAUCCGGAACUGUCAAGCUAGAGUGCAGGAGAGGAAGGUAGAAUUCCCGGUGUAGCGGUGAAAUGCGUAGAGAUCGGGAGGAAUACCAGUGGCGAAGGCGGCCUUCUGGACUGACACUGACACUGAGGUGCGAAAGCGUGGGUAGCAAACAGGAUUAGAUACCCUAGUAGUC
rnacentral:rRNA from 1 species